CAUGUGUCUUGGGGCUCAGGUAGAGCCCUACCAAUCUCUGGAUCUCUUGGUUCAAUUUCUGUUAUUUCUGAAAUACUAUAACAUAGCCAAAAGUUCUGUGUAAAUGUAAUCUCUGACGUCAUCACCAUUCAGGAGAUAAGAGAGAUAAGGUUUUAACUAGCCUUAAAAUCCAGAGUGGAUGGUGGCUGGUCUUGUGGGUCACUUAAGAGUAAUGUAUCUUGCAGGAAUAGCUCAGAUAGACAGAGAGACACCAGCAAGCCAUAUAGCACCUCAUGGAUGAUGAAAUAAAAUAAUUCAAGGUUCAUUAUGAAAGGAACCUGUAUGGAAAUCAUCUUAGUUAAAAGCAGAAUAAAAGAACAAAGGAAUCAGCAAGUACCCAGAAAGGUCAUGCAGGGCACCCUCCCUUGAUAUGAUUAAAUAGAGGAAUAAGUGAAUAAGUAAUAAUCUAAUCAUGGAGGGGGGUAGGCAAAUUCGGCAUUAAACUACUACAGUAGGCAAGUUUUUCAUUUGUGACCAAAUGACCUCAUAUUUUUUCCAUCUGCCUCUAUUAAGCAGAGUCAUUUCUUCUAUCAGUGCAGUGGUGAAAAAUUUCUCCAACUGUUCCAGAGAGAGAGGAGUAAAUUCUGAAGAGGGAUAGCAAGAAAUUAAUGUCCUGACAUGUUCGUUACUAAAAUCAGUGAGAUUUUUUCUAUUAAUUUCAGGGAGUUGUGGGGGGAUGACAGAGCCCAUGGCCAGAACAAGUUUGAUCUUGCAUCACUGAAAGCCAUAGUCACCUUGCUGAAGGGGAAGCAUAAACUGCAGCAGACAUUUCUGGAAAGAAGGAGCAGUACAAAAAGAUACUUUAAGGAAGUGAAAUGUAACUGAUAGAGGAGUUCUUCUUGAUGCCAGCAGUUCCCAAAGUUCCUGGGUGAUAUUUUAACUCUUUUGCAUCGAGUCCAUCAGUGCAGACUGCAGCUAUGUGAUGUCCAUUAGUGACUCCUAGAGAAACUGACAGGUGAGGAAACGGAGCAGAUACGAAAAGAGAUCUCUGGGGUAGUCUUCUAUAAUGUUUUUGAAUGAGCAUCCCUAGAUUUUGUAUAGGAGAGAGUGGCCAAAAUGUGGCUCUCCCUAAACAGUGUCUACUAUUGACAUUUCUGGAAACAGAGUAUUAGACUUUACUGGUAGGGCAUUUUUCAUGUCAACUCCCUUAUGAGCUGGUGAACUCAAAGAUUAUAUCAGGACACUACUGAUGAAGAAUAAUAAUAACAUAA
rnacentral:lncRNA from 1 species